UGUGGUCUAAAAAUAUGGAGGAGGUACAUGUUAUGACCCAUCAAUCAUUGGUUACUUCUGUUGAAAAGUUACGCCAUUAUUUCUGGUCUGCUUACUUUAAUUGCAAGAUUGUGUAGUUAUUUCACUUUCAUUAAUUGUUCUAGAAGCAUUUUAUGCUUCUAUUAAUAAAUUUUAUUGCUAGUUUUGCUUACUUUUCUGGCAUGCCAUGGUCCAUGGAUGUUUCAGUCUUCAUUAAUUUGAGUAUAGGUUCUAGAGUAGAUGGCAGUUAGAAUUAAAUUAAUUAUGAUUUUAGAUGGAACAUACUGUUGAUCAUGGGGGAAUGAUUAGCAUUAAUUGCUAUUGGAUUUCAUAGGAGACAGCAGAGUGUCUUGCUAUAAAUCAAACAAUCAAAUCAUCUUACAACUUAACCUUUCAUUUCUGCAGAUCAUGGAGAAGCUUCUUGAUA
rnacentral:misc_RNA from 1 species